rnacentral:rRNA from 1 species
GACGAACGCUGGCGGCGUGCUUAACACAUGCAAGUCGAACGGAGUGGCGAACGGGUGAGUAACACGUGGGUGACCUGCCCUGCACUUCGGGAUAAGCCUGGGAAACUGGGUCUAAUACCGGAUAGUGUGGGAUGGGCCCGCGGCCUAUCAGCUUGUUGGUGGGGUAAUUGCCUACAAAGGCGGCUACGGGUAGCCGGCCUGAGAGGGUGGACGGCCACAGUGGGACUGAGACACGGGUCAGACUACUACGGGAGGCAGCAGUGGGGAAUAGUGCACAAGGGGCGGAAGCCUGAUGCAGCGGUGCCGGGUGGGGGAUGACGGCUUUCGGGUUGUAAACUCCUUUCACCAUCGACGCGGUAGAUGGAGAAGAAGCACCGGCUAAAUACGUGCCAGCCGCCGCGGUAAUUC